AACGCUAGCUACAGGCUUAACACAUGCAAGUCGAGGGGCAGCAUGAGCUUAGCUUGCUAAGCUUGAUGGCGACCGGCGCACGGGUGAGUAACGCGUAUCCAACCUUCCCAUAUCUUGGGGAUAGCCCUCCGAAAGGGGGAUUAAUACCCGAUGUUGUCCUUAGCGGGCAUCUAAUGAGGACGAAAGAUUUAUCGGAUAUGGAUGGGGAUGCGUCCGAUUAGCUUGACGGCGGGGUAACGGCCCACCGUGGCAUCGAUCGGUAGAGGUUCUGAGAGGAAGGUCCCCCACACUGGAACUGAGACACGGUCCAGACUCCUACGGGAGGCAGCAGUGAGGAAUAUUGGUCAAUGGAGGAAACUCUGAACCAGCCAAGUAGCGUGCAGGAUGACGGCCCUAUGGGUUGUAAACUGCUUUUAUACGGGAAUAACUUAUGCCACGUGUGGUUUAUUGCAUGUACCGUAUGAAUAAGGACCGGCUAAUUCCGUGCCAGCAGCCGCGGUAAUACGGAAGGUUCUGGCGUUAUCCGGAUUUAUUGGGUUUAAAGGGAGCGUAGGCCGGUGAUUAAGCGUGUUGUGAAAUGUAGGCGCUCAACGUCUGCCUUGCAGCGCGAACUGGUCGUCUUGAGUGCGCGGGAAGUUGGCGGAAUUCGUGGUGUAGCGGUGAAAUGCUUAGAUAUCACGAAGAACUCCGAUUG
rnacentral:rRNA from 1 species